rnacentral:rRNA from 1 species
AAGAAGGCCUUCGGGUUGUAAAGCUCUUUCGGCCGGGAAGAAGGGUUAAUCGGUUAAUAAGCGAUUAAUUUGAUGGUACCGGAAGAAGAAGCACCGGCAAACUUCGUGC